AGUUUUCAGGAUCUUAGUCUAAGCACUUCUACGAUAUUACCAUAACAACUGUCAGGUGGCAGAUGUUGAAUUCAAUAUAGCCAGUGAGAAGUUCAUGCUAAAAAGGUGUACGGGCUCUACAUGUGAAUGAGUUCUGAUG